GGAAGGACGGUAUAGAUUUGACACAUCAUAAUUAUUAUGCUAUGUAAUUAUCACAAUCAGGAAACGUGCCACCCAGUCACGGGUGGAAAUGAAGGACGUUGUGGCCCUCGUCGAGUGUCCCAAGAUGUGGGAGAUGUUUAGAAGCGUGGCCAACGACUCGGCUGUGCACCACCUGCUACAGGUACAUAUCAUAUUAACUCAGUACUUUUCCUCACCUUAACCCCUACACCCCUACAGAUCGUGGCAGGCAUGGAGUGGGCAGGCAUGGAGUGGGAGAACAAGCGGCAGUACACGAACGGUGUUCAAGGAGCACAAGAUGCUGUCGACGUAGACAGGCCAUGUUCGUUCUGGCCCUAGUCGGCAUAUGACAAGUUCACCCAGAGACGUCUUCAACAAGUUUGGAUUGAAAACCGACUAGGGCCAGCAGCCGGACCUGGCGCACAGCCAAUCCUCAAUACUCUGUGAAGGAAGGUUCCCUCACGAGGUCGACCCAACGGUCCUGUCUGACUCUACCUCACACUUUGCUGAACCUGCUAAGAAGAAGGCAAAGAGGAAAUCACCACCACCACCGCCACGCUGAGGAGCUCCAAAGACAAAGAAGACCUGGGAGACAACAAGACGAAAGUACACUGACGACGACACGGCGACAAUUUCUCUCUCUACUUCGACAGCUGGAGACCAAAACAUACAAGAACUUAGGACAAGCAGCCGUUAUUCAUUCAUCUUAUUUAUCUCCGUUAUUCAUUCAUAAUACUUGGAUUCUGUGCCUCCGGUUCACGGCUUCUAAGUGGCACACAUUCUCUUCACAGCCUUUAGAAAUUAACCUAACCAAAUAACCCAAAUACAUUCCCUAACCUGAUCCUCACUUCUGGUCGGCACUAUAGUACAGAGCCUAACCCUUAUAAACAAGAAUUAUCUCACAAAUCUUGUCUCUUGACCAACAAUUGCAACACGACGUGCUCUAAUUAGAAUUACGAGAAUAUUUGUUAAGAGAAGAGUACAAGACUGUUCCUUUCUUCUUUCCUAUAUAUAGGGUUAUAGUUGUCAUGUAGUGUUAGAUAAAGAUUAUUGGAUGUCCACCACAACCACAGCCCCGCGGACUACGAGAAGUUGUAUCACGAGGUUAGGGAAUGUGCUAGGGUUGUUAAAAGGUGUGUCACCUAGAAGGUGAGGUGCGGGGCAGGUUGUCAACGAUCAACGACGACAUGAGUUGGCGAACGGUUCAGGUUUGUCUCUGUUACAGCGUUCGAUUCCAUAGGGUGUGAUUGCAUCAAUACUCCAACUUGUGGAGGCUGAGACGACUAUCAUUGUUGUAACAUAAUAAUCAAUAGGACGGGACGGGACGGAAACAACCAGUAGGUACCCUAACCCCUGAGCCCAGUAGAGUAGUUCAGAGAAGGCAUACGUUCCAACACGACGCCAGGUCUUUGGCUGUGCGAACAGUUUCUCCCCAUGGAAAAGAGGAAGAAAAGGAUUCAAGACAAAGUGUCUUGCAAUUAUGUGCUGCCAUUGUGUUGUUGUGUUACCGUUAAAGUGUUAGUGUUAUAAAGUGUGAUACAAACCUCAAAAUGAGAAUCCUCUACCUUAACCUAUUAACCCUGAGGUGUCUGCAUUAAACAGUAGGGAAAGGGGACCAAGGACCCUAUCAUCGACCACUCUCCAAGGAUUCUUACAGGCUAACACCAUCACAUGAUUAAACCAAUAAGUUACCAAGGUUACUUUGAGUCCCUUAGCGACCCAAAACAAGUAGGAACAUCACAGUCGACAUUUAAACACAUGAUUGCUAUUCUGACUCAUCACAUCACCCUCCACCCAGAUUCCCUCCACCCAGAUUACUGAGGUGUCUACGAAAGAAAGGGUCUUCCAGCAUCGAAGUGCAAACUCGCAGUACAUAUGUUGGUUUGAUUCGGGGGGCGUCCCAAAACCAGGUGUACUGACGCAGGUUUUCUUGACACAGAUGCUGGGGAUUCCCAAAACCACCGCUGUUUGAACCACCCACACCCACAUUGAGCUCAAUGUAUCUAAGGAAAUCAAUAUUAAUUUGUACUUCAAUUUAAUGGGGCGUGGUCUCUAAGUCACGUGCGUGUGCUAAUUAUAGUAGGCCACACCCAAGUUGAAGUAAUUAUUUGAAAAGAAAUGUAGCUAAAAUUAAAAGUAGCUAGCUAGCUAGUGUUUGUUGUAGCAUUAGAGUAAAUUAGAGUAAAACAGAUUAAGCUUAUAGCCAAGAGGACAUGUUAAAAAGCUGGAUCUACGAUGUAAGCAAGUUGUAGUUGCAUGUGGGCCUGGUACCAUGGUACUCAAGUAUGCUACCAGCUGCAUUGACCGGACAAAAAGGUGAGUCUCCAAUUUGUUGUUACUUUGAUUGCAUAGCUGUUAGUCCUAUAAAAUCCAUGAGAGCUUUGCAAUUGUACCUGUACAUGCUGGAGUACAUUCGCUCUUGACUUCGAAUAUUCGUGAUCGUUUCCGUGAUUCAAAAAACAGAUACGACUACAGAUAAUAUGACUUCUGCCGAGCCUUCUGCUUACUCCACUGACAUUGGCUGGAGGGUUGUUUGGCAGAGAAUAGGAAUGGGUCUCACUUAUAAAGAGAUUGCCUACAGGCUUCAGAUUGCAGUUGGUACAGCUCACAGAUUGUAUGAAUCAACUGGUGAUGUUGCUCCCUUGAAGAGAGCUGAAAGAUAUGAGUUGAGGAAGCUAGAUAAUUUACAUGAGAUUUAUAUCAUUGGAUUGAUUUGUGAGAAUCCAGCAAUAUACCUUCACGAAGUCUAUUUUUGAAGUAACGGGAGUAAGAGUGUGUGUGCAAGGUAAUCCAUCGAAACAGGAAGAAGCUGACCAAAGCAAAGAUCACUUGAACAUAGAGCAGCAUUCAUGGCUAAUAUGUUGCAGUAUCCUCGAGAUUUUUUUGUAUGGGUGGAUGAAACUGGUACAGACAGAAGAGAUCAGCUGCGCAAGUUUGGGUAUGCUAUAAGAGCUGUUUGUACACAACUUUUUACACGUGGUGGUUGCUAUGUCAUCUGAGGGUGUUCAUCUGAGGGUGUUGAGGCUUAUGAGGCUUAUGAACUAACUUCUUCUGGUUCAAACAAUGGUGAAAAAUUUGUAGACUUUGUGAGAGAAGCAGUUACUCAACCAUUCCCUGACAGACAAUGAUUAUGGAUAACUGCUCAAUCCACCACGUACAGGUAUCUAUUUGAUAGCUAUUUGAAAGAAUAUGAAGAUGAAGAUUUAAUACAGUCCCUAGCCCUGUGCAUAUCAUACAGGAAGGUCUAAACAGUGUGACAAGUUCAAAGUGCAAUGGUUGGAUAGUGGAUACAGCACAUAGACUUGACUCCGCAUGGCCCAUCAUAUAUACAUACAUUAACAGUAACAUACAUACAUUAACAGUAACAGUCAACAGUCAAUACUCAAUACACGCACAAUACACGCACGCCACUCUUCAAAUUGUACUCAACAUUUUUUUCUUCUGAAGCUCUUUGUACAGAUAUAAUCUUCGCUGAGGAAAGCCAAUCUUCUGCGGCCAUUUCUCAGUCUCAACCAUGUGUGUCUGGCCGUGUAGCAAGUGUUUCUGUGCAGGCUAGAUCUAGAUGUCUAGUUAACUCUAGGCCUAUAUUCUUAGAUAGUCCCCCACUUUUAACCUCCACACGUACACCACCCGUACCCCUCCCAUGGCCCAGCAAUUGAUUGAUUGCCUUGUAUGUGUGCGGUGGUGGUGGUGAUGGUGAUUCUGCUACAUACGUAUUGAAGAUCAUUAAUCCAAAGAACAAAGGAGGUGAAGUACUGGUCAACGACAUCGAAGUUUUUACAUCAGUAGACGCUCUAAAGAGUAAACUGUGUCAUCUCAGAGGUGCAUUACCAUGUACAAAAACGAUUUUAGCAUAUAACUUUUGAGUUGUUUAUUUUAAUGUCAUUUUUAUCCUGUCAUUCAAUGCUGUAAUCAAAUUUGACAAUCUAUGAAUAUAAAUUAGUCAGAUGAUUGUCAUGUGACUAAGGUACAAGUAACUGGUGGUCAUGAAGUUUUUUACCUCAGGAAAAUGUCUACAUUUAAUCACUUUUGCUUUUUGCAUGUUACACAUCAACACAAUAACCUGUACUGCAAAACUGCAAAACUACCAGGGCGCAUGCUGCUAGUGAAUAGCAUACUCUGGUGUGGUAAGAAAGGGUGUCAAAAUCAAUAAUUAAACCUAAUUCAACGUUCCUAAUUCUUCUUACAUGGAUAUUUACCUCUUGCGCUCUAGCUGGCUGGGAUUCUAUAAAGUAGAUAUAUGCCUCUAAUUCUUUAGAUCACACCGUUCUAGCACAGGUCCCGAGCACAACUUUAACAUACUAGGAGAAAAUUAUGCGGUCAAAGGUUAAAUACGGCACGUGAUUCUCCGCGCAGAAUACAAAGGCUGGCACCUGGCAUUGCUAUUACACCAAUUGUGCUAUUACACCAAUUGUUCAAGUUCAAGUGUUGUCAAGAUUCUCAAACCUCAAAACCUCAUAAGCAGCCACCAAGCCGUUCCAGCAGAGAUAAAUUCCAGCAGAGAUAAAAUUCAACUGUGGGUAUGCCCGGUCCGCCAUUAGAGACAGGAAACAAUGGUGACCAAAGCGACCAAAGCGUUCCAAGAAUUAUUCCCAGACUACGGUGUGGACCCCGAUAUGUAUGGCCACAGAGAAUCCCUAUUUGAAAGGAACAGAAAGAAAAUGUCUACUAUGUUCACUAAAUGGAAGUGCAGGGAGAAACGAAUGGAGUAUCUCCAAACAUUUAGCAUUUUCAAAUGGAAGCCAGCUGUCUAAUUCCUCGCAAAAACGCCACACCUUGUCCAAUUGUAAAGAAUGUGCGAUUCUACACACGACACUACAGAACGCCUAUCCAGGGAAGAAAUCUGAGUUGUCAAAGGACGUAGCAACUACGCUAAGUGCAGCAAUCAACGGGAAGGAAGAAACACAUGCUACAAGAGAGAUUUUGGCUGAUCUCCAACCAUUAUUUGAAAAACAAUAUGGCCACUCAUUCACAAAUUACCUGGCUCACAGCUACAAGCUAAGCCAAAAAAAAAGAAGAGAUAGAGCUGACUCUCUAACUGUGCUUGCAGAAGGAAACUCUAUGCAAAGCUAUAAACGAUUACGACUGUCACAGUCGUUUGAGACCCCACAAGCUAAACGGACCAGGGUGGAAAGUAGUGCACCAAAGCUGAAAACAUUCACCCUCAUUCGAAAAUGCAACAUGGGACAAGGAAAAUGUACUCGAGGACUUAAGAUCAUUUCCGAACGACACAAAAAUUAAGUGGAGCAAGUUUGCUAGAGAAAACAAUGGGCAGGUAGUUAAGGAGUUUGCUGAAAGAAACAGUCGUCAACUAGAUAGUCGCCAGUCCGGAACAAGAAAAAUGCCCGGGAAAGAUAUUUCCGUUCCAUCUCAUUUAACUCCUGCAAAAAUAAAAGAAGAUUGGACAAAGAUGAUAACAACAGGCGAGCUAACACUAGGCGAACAAUGCCACCUAUGCACAAUAACAAAAUACAACACAUCAAAUGGUACUGUAACUAAAAGCGAAAGCACAGUUUACGGUAGAAAAAUUCCUCUGACAGACAUUCGACAAAAGCUAAUACGGAAAUAUAUGCACUUGCAUACGGAUAGAGAAAUGUCUGCUAUUCAAUUGACCGAGGAAUUGACGGCAAAAAAACAUCAGACUACCACAUGAUACACAUGAUACAAGCCUUCAAAAUCUAAGAGAAAAACUAAAAAAAUCUGAACGAACUCGUACAAUUGCCGUAUGGCAUGAUCACGCAACAAUACUAGGCCACGGAUACAUUCUUGUGACAGCAAAAAUAUUAUAUGACACGGCAGUAUUUAAACCAGACGCAAAAAUACCAACAACUUCUCAAGUCAAAAAUAUUCAGGCGUUUGUUGAGGAGCCUGAGGUCCAUAUAUUAGCAAUGUCUUCAUCGAGUACAGAAGACCAAGUGGGGUUGAUAACGGACAGAUUAACUUGUAUUCAGACCACACACUCACCACUUACAUGUAGCAAUGGAGUGCAAGUACAAGACCAACUGAUGUUCUUUUAUGGAGAUAAGCCUGCUAUGGAGAUAAGCCUGCAGCACAAUUUGAAAGAGGAUGUCAGCAAGGGGGAGGAUUUCCUGCGGUUGUUCUGCUCAACGCAUGGACGACCUAGGGCACUGCUUUACCUGAAAGUGGAAGGAUCUACAAGACAUACAAACAACAGCAACAAAGGGAAAAAGCAGGCUGGUGUAGUAAGACCUUGUAGUAAGACCUCUUGAUGCAAGGAGGAAAUUAAGGACGAACUACGUAACCGAGAUGUAUACACCAGUGCAACUACAAAGAAAGACCUACAACAAACACUUCAUCAGGCU